rnacentral:lncRNA from 1 species
AUCAAAAUGUCUAUUAGUUCUUCUGUUCUGUUGAAGGAAAGGCAAUAGAGAAGUUAUCACUAAUCCAUGAACACUAAUGAGUUUUUUGAGUCAUCAAAUUGGAUUCAGAACAGUGGUAGCGAUGGGAGGGAGGACUAAAUUUACUGCAUAAAAGCAAGUAGAAUUAUUUGGUGCUGUAAUAACACAUAUUUUUAUUGGCAGGACACUGAUGCAGAUUUAAUCAGAGGUGAAGAUGUAAAGCCUUGAGUUCCCACUGGAUG